AUGAAACUUACUUUAUGGUUAUUGAAGAGUCUCGGUGAUUUCCUUGGUUGGAAAUACUUUAUUGACCCAAGUGGCAGGAAGACCACUCAGCACAGAGGACUGUUCCCAAAUAGGGAAAAAUGGGAUGUAGCCAUCAGACCCAUGCCUUCUCAUAUGAUGGAGAGUGGUGACUCUUCUCUGCUGAUCUAUGUUUACACAGUCAACUCUCAGGCAGGAUUCUCAACUGGACCAUACAAUGUGAACAUGGCAGAGGAUGCCUCAGGUGUAGAAGUCAUGUUAAGCCACUUGCAAUACCAGGGACUGAAGAAAGCUGAGAACCUGACAACUCCAUGUUUCAACUUGGAAAAAGAUAGAUAACUGUGGACAGCCCAUCUGGAAUUGUCUUCAAUCUCAUAAGCAUGAGGAACUGACCAAUCUCCAAUUGUUUCCUCUCUCUGAUUAUACGAAAUCAGCCAGUGAAGAUAGAGUUUAGGACAGGGAAUGAUGGGACCAUUAGCGAUCUAAAUUUCAGAACAUUUAAGAGACUCCUACUCGUUGAUAACUCACGUUCUGGUCUAGUAUCAAUGGUAUUCCUUUAUGCAUUCACUAAUCGCCAGAAGGAUACGUAUGCCUGAUUUCUUCUCUAUGGAGUCCCCUAUGUCUAAAACCGAAGGGAGAGGCAGUGAGGCUUAGACCGUAUUUCAGAAAAAAAAAAAAAAAAAAAAAAAAGCCUUUUAAGUGACACAGCCAAUGAAAAUAAUAAAGAAAAAAAAGAAACUUACUGAGUGCUAGAAGUACUGAGUUUACUUUAGGGAUUAGAUACUAGUCUGAGCACAUUGUACCACAAAUAUUCAGUAUUCAGUUCAAAUGCUUCUUUCUUUAUUUUCUUUUUUCUUUUUUUUUAAGACUGAGUGUUGCUCCUGUUGCCCAGGCUGGAGUUCAGUAACAAGAUCUUGGCUGACUGCAACCUCCACCUCCCAGGUUCAAGCAAUUCUCCUGCCUCAGCCUCCUGAGUAGCUGGGAUUACAGGUGUCUGCCACCACGCCCAGCUAUUUUUUUGUAUUUUUAGUAGAGACAGGCUUUCCUCAUGUUGGUCAGGCUGUUCUCGAACUCCUGACCUCAGGCGAUCCACCUGCCUCGGCCUCCCAGAGUGCAGGGAUUACAGGUGUGAGCCACUGCUCCCAGCCUCAAAUGCUACUUUCUGUGGGAAUGUUUCCCAGAUAAAAUACAAGGCCUCAAUUAAAUGCACCUUCCUAAUUAAAGCCAAGCACAUGCCACUAUUAUAAUACUUAAUGCUCUGUAUUGUAAUUAGGCUUUUAAAUUGUAUCUUUUUCAGUACACUCAAAGCCUCUUAAGGCAAGGCUUACAUUUUAUAUUCCUAAAUCUUGAGAGAUAGUACUAAGGCUGGUACAUAUUAUGUGCUAAGCCUGGUACAUAUUAUACACUUGAUAAAUAUUUAUUGAAUAAAUGAAUCAAUGAAUAAAUGAAAGAAAAAGAAGAAAGCGUGAAUUAUUUGUUCUAAGAUAGAAUGGCACAGAAAAAUUGUGAAUUGUUUAAAGCUACACAAUGAUUGACUGAUAGAAGAAAGACAUUGAUUGUUGUUUGAGUAGUAAACCAGGAUGCCUGUGCAUUUUAUGAAGUUCUGCCAAAGCCUUUGAAAUGAGGUUAUAUAACAUUGUCCCAGAAUUCCAGGUUUCUACUCUGUAAAAUUGGCAACAUUUUAACUAUGCAACA
ensembl:lncRNA